ACGGAAGCCCGGUGAGGCCAAGGUCGAUCCGGAAGAGAAGGUUCGUUCUCCCGACCCGGGCACCCAGCACGGUUCCCGGCACCCACGCGGAGUCAUAGCCGCGAUAAUGGCAGAAGUGUUGCGGGCCUGCGUAAUUGCGAACAACGGAUGACAUCGACAGCCCUUUGGGUGGGGUUGCAGUCGGAAGUAUCGCAAACGCGCCGAGGUCACCCACGCAGCCCAAUAAAUGCACGCUUGGUACCCGAGAACCGUGUUGGCGGGCGGUGAUUCGAAAAUUUUCGGAUCGCCGCCCGCUUUGCAUU
rnacentral:ncRNA from 1 species